AGGGAGCAAGCGUUGUCCGGAUUUACUGGGUGUAAAGGGUGCGUAGGCGGCUAGGCAAGUCAGACGUGAAAACCAUGGGCUCAACCUGUGGACUGCGUUUGAAACUGUUUAGCUUGAGUGAAGUAGAGGUAGGCGGAAUUCCCGGUGUAGCGGUGAAAUGCGUAGAGAUCGGGAGGAACACCAGUGGCGAAGGCGGCCUACUGGGCUUUAACUGACGCUGAGGCACGAAAGCAUGGGUAGCAAA
rnacentral:rRNA from 1 species